rnacentral:lncRNA from 1 species
AUAUCUAUUCAAAUGAUGACCCGGAUUAACUAUCCUGUUGUCUAGUCACUUUACCCUACCUACAGUAUACUGCUGUUACUGUCUAUUAUCUAUCCUUUACCCCUACCUACAGUAUACUGCUGUUACUGUCUAUUAUCUAUCCUUUACCCCUACCUACAGUAUACUGCUGUUACUGUCUAUUAUCUAUCCUUUACCCCUACCUACAGAAUACUGCUGUUACUGUCUAUUAUCUAUCCUUUACCCCUACCUACAGUAUACUGCUGUUACUGUUGAUUAUCUAUCCUUUACCCCUACCUACAGUAUACUGCUGUUACUGUCUAUUAUCUAUCCUUUACCCCUACCUACAGUAUACUGCUGUUACUGUCUAUUAUCUAUCCUUUACCCCUACCUACAGUAUACUGCUGUUACUGUCUAUUAUCUAUCCUUUACCCCUACCUACAGUAUACUGCUGUUACUGUCUAUUAUCUAUCCUUUACCCCUACCUACAGUAUACUGCUGUUACUGUCUAUUAUCUAUCCUUUACCCCUACCUACAGUAUACUGCUGUUACUGUCUAUUAUCUAUCCUUUACCCCUACCUACAGUAUACUGCUGUUACUGUCUAUUAUCUAUCCUUUACCCCAACCUACAGUAUACUGCUGUUACUGUCUAUUAUCUAUCCUUUACCCUACCUACAGUAUACUGCUGUUACUGUCUAUUAUCUAUCCUUUACCCCUACCUACAGUAUAUUGCUGUUACUGUCUAUUAUCUAUCCUUUACCCCUACCUACAGUAUACUGCUGUUACUGUCUAUUAUCUAUCCUUUACCCCUACCUACAGUAUACUGCUGUUACUGUCUAUUAUCUAUCCUGUUGCCUAGUCACUUUACCCCUACCUAUAUGUAUAUAGCUACCUCAAUUACCUCGUACCUCUGCACAUCGACUCAGUACUGUAUAUAGCCAUGUUAUUACCUGGUACUUCCUGUAUAUAGCCAUGCUAUUACCUGGUACUUCCUGUAUAUAGCCAU